rnacentral:rRNA from 1 species
AGUGAACGCUGGCGGUAGGCCUAACACGUGCAAGUCGAACGGCAGCACAGUAAGAGCUUGCUCUUACGGGUGGCGAGUGGCGGACGGGUGAGGAAUACAUCGGAAUCUACUUUUUCGUGGGGGAUAACGUAGGGAAACUUACGCUAAUACCGCAUACGACCUACGGGUGAAAGCAGGGGAUCUUCGGACCUUGCGCGAUUGAAUGAGCCGAUGUCGGUUUAGCUAGUUGGCGGGGUAAAGGCCCACCAAGGCGACGAUCCGUAGCUGGUCUGAGAGGAUGAUCAGCCACACUGGAACUGAGACACGGUCCAGACUCCUACGGGAGGCAGCAGUGGGGAAUAUUGGACAAUGGGCGCAAGCCUGAUCCAGCCAUACCGCGUGGGUGAAGAAGGCCUUCGGGUUGUAAAGCCCUUUUGUUGGGAAAGAAAAGCAGCAGGUUAAUACCCCGCUGUUCUGACGGUACCCAAAGAAUAAGCACCGGCUAACUUCGUG